ACGUUUCCAUGGAAACAGAACCGGCAGUUCAUGUAGGCACCACUACCUGUCAGUGCCAGGUACUCAAAGAGAGUUUAAAAUCCCAUUUCCUGGUCUCCAGUUGGUUUUCUCCUGCAGUGCCAGAACUUCUGCUGCAGGAGAAAGGACCCUCCAUCGAAAGAGCAGCGGGAGCUGUCACUAAGAGGCUUUCAAUCUAGACAAGUACUGUGCUGGGCUGCAGAUGUAAAGCACUGAGCAAGGCAGACUCUCUCCUGGCCCCCCAGCUCACAGGCUAGUAGGAGCAUCAGAUGAUCAAACAAGGAAUUAUGAGACAGUGGAUUGAGUGUUGUGAUGGGUACAGAGGUGAGGUGAAACUUUCAGAAAAGAUUGUAGAAUUUUCAUCUAGAGUUUGGGUAACUCUAAAAUGCUUCAGAGGUAUUAACAAUAUUGCAGUCUUCACCAAGUGAGGAAAACCUACAAAAAAAUGUGUGUGUAGGUGCAAUGAAAAAUUUUCAAGUCAAUGUAAAUGUGUUAUAAGAGUGGAGAACCUGGAAUUUUUGGAAGUAACUCAGCCCUAAUACUUUCUGUCAAAAUAUAGAAGGACAACAGCUUUAGAAAAUAAAUACAAAACCUCAAACUUCUGUCACUUUGAAGAAUAAGAAAAUAUGAAACAUAAAAAUAAAAUAUCUGGAAAAUACAGAGAC